AUUGAACGCUGGCGGCAUGCCUUACACAUGCAAGUCGAACGCGAAAGGGGGCAACCCUGAGUAGAGUGGCGCACGGGUGAGCAAUACAUCGGAACAUACCCAGUAGUGGGGGACAACCAGUCGAAAGACUGGCUAAUACCGCAUACGACCUACGGGUGAAAGCGGGGGACCGUAAGGCCUCGCGCUAUUGGAUUGGCCGAUGUCUGAUUAGCUAGUUGGUGAGGUAACGGCUCACCAAGGCGACGAUCAGUAGCUGGUCUGAGAGGAUGAUCAGCCACACUGGGACUGAGACACGGCCCAGACUCCUACGGGAGGCAUCAGUGGGGAAUGUUGGAAAAUGGGGGCAACCCUGAUCCAGCAAUGCCGCGUGAGUGAAGAAGGCCUUCGGGUUGUAAAGCUCUUUCGGCCGGGACGAAAUCGCUCUGGUGAAUAUCCAGGGUGGAUGACGGUACCGGAAUAAGAAGCACCGGCUAACUACGUGCCAGCAGCCGCCGUAA
rnacentral:rRNA from 1 species